CGGGAGUCUGAGGAAUUCGCCUGGGC
rnacentral:piRNA from 1 species